AAGCAUUGUAUUUUUCAAAAUGUCUGAAAAUUAGUGAAUAUCGAGGUUACGCAAUUGUUUAAAAGCUAAAAGAGUAGCUAAGUAAGAUAAAUAAUGUAAGAAACAGAUUAAGUCUUUUGCAGAUCAGAAGUUGUAUUGAGGUUCAUAAAAAAGAAAUGAUCUGAAAUUGGUUAAGAAUAAGUUAGUUAGCAUAAAUUUAGGUAAAUACAAUAGUAGUGUUAUUUAUAUAAAAAAGUUCGUACCUGGCUUAGCUGGGAAAAAAACUCCGUGUAAGUCCCUUCUUUAUUGGAUUGUAUCAUCGCUUGGUUGCUAUGUCGGGCAUUGUAAAUCUAAGUAAACAAUUCGACUAUUUUGACAAAAGUAAUUGAAAGGUUUUGUGGAUAAUAAAGGAGGUCUAAAUAUUGGAAAUAUGAAUUACUAUAUAGAGUUUGAAAUUUAAAUCAUUUAAUAUAAUUUAAUUUUCAAGUUAUAUAGUCGUUGUAAAUUACUAUGAUUGAAUUUGAUUAUAGAUUUAAUAGUAAAUGAGUUUUUAUAUUCGUUAAAUAAGCCGAGUCCGGUCGGUUUAAAACCCAGAUUUGAGAAAAAAACCGGUGAAACUAGCUAAAAACCGGUAAAACCGAUGACCCGGUUCAACUUCAAAACCCGGUUCAAUAGAAAUCAACAUAUAAUUAACGUAUUUUCAAUUUUUAUUAAAAUAUAAUAUUUCAUAAUUAAUUUUAAUUUUUACUAUUUAAUUAGUUUUCUCUUGAUUCCUUUUUAAGAAUUUUUUUUUAAAAAAUCUCUUUUUGAUUCUCAUAUUUUAUUCUCAUUUUUCUAUAUUCAUAAAAUUUCAGACUUUUAGUUGUAAAAAUAAAUAAAUAUGUAAUUUAAACGAUUAUUCAUUUUUUAAAAAUCAAUUUUAGUUGAUAUAGUAUUCACUUAUAUAUAUAACUAAACUUAAGGUUAUUGUUUAUUAUCUAAUUAAUAAAAGAGAACAUAGACAUAUUAUAUGUAGAACUACAUUUUAGGUCUAUAUAGUAUAAAUAUAUAUUAUUUAGAUUUAUUUAUUUUUAAAUAGAAAAUCCGGUUCGACCGGUUGAACCGGUCCGACCACUUAACCAGUAGCUUACCGAGUCGGUAUCCGGUCCGGUUUUAAAAAUAUUAGCUUACCGACCACGUAAGAAAAGUUGUGGAAGAAGAACAAAAAGAUACAUGGAAAACCCCAUCAUUCUCAUAAUUCUCUGACAAUUUUAAGAAAAGGAAAAAAGCAGAUGAAUAGAAAUGAACACAGAUUUGAUUUAUAUUACGGUUAUUAUUGCGACCUCAGAGUCAAAUUUAGUGAUCAAUUCUGAUCUAAUUAUUUGUCUACUUUCGUGUGUUGUUUAUGAAUGUAGACUAUCCUGUACAACAACAUUACAAGUGGUUUAAGACAUGUUUUUAAAACCUAAACAGGCGGGCCUAAUACAACAAGUGAGGUGUACAUAAUUUAUCCGACCACGUGAUGUGUUUUUUGUAGUUGUUAUUUUUCACUAUGUUUGGUUAGAAUGCAAUGCUAACCAACAGUUGGAACGGUUAACCAAAAGGUCACAAUGUUAAUCAUCAAUGGCUCAAAACAUCCACAUUUGCAAUGGUUUAUCACCAAAAUUGCAACAUUUUAUGACUAAGCUGCUUAGGGUUUUCUGUGGGUGAGUAGAUGUUCUCGAGAUAGGUUUGGUGUAUUAACCAAUAAAGAAGAGAAAUAUGUGGUUUUAUCCAAUUUGGUGGAUGAGUUCUCCAUUUCCCAAAAUAGGUUUGGUGUUUCCUUCUUUUAUUUUGUUUUCACAUAUUUUAUAAAAGUUACAAUCUUAUAAAAUCUUGCAAAUAGGUCUGUGUAGGUAUAUGGACAAACAUCUAGUUAAAAAUGUAAAUAUCUAAUUUUAAACAAUUCUUAGAGGAUAUAUUGAAUAUAUUCUAAAAGGAUAUAUGUAUAUAUUAUUAUUUUUCAUUAAAUAUAUUUGCAAAACAUUAGAAAUUUAUCCAGAUAAAGAUGUUUUGUAAUGUCAGAAAUAUUUUGUGCAAAUUUAUUGAAAGAGUUUAAAAGAUGAUUAUUCUAACUUUUGAUUCAAUAUAAUCACAAAUUUAAUAUUGGCUAGACGACAUUGACGUAGUAUUAGACUAACUAUAUACACCAUAACCUAAGAUUUAUUGCAAUCAUAAAACCAUAUUAUGAACCGAUUAUGAUAUAUUGCAUAAAGGUUAAAUACGGAAUAUAACCUCUUUGAUCACUUAAAUGUUAUUGUUAGACUAAAUUUAAAUUUCAAAAAUCUGGUUUAGUGGUGCUAUUCUAGAAAAUGGUUGGAAUAUUCUAAUAUGUCACAUGUAGAUUUUAUUGUGAAUGUUAUUUCGUAAACAAAUUGUAUUAAUGUAAGAGAGCUGCAUAUCUAGAAAAUUGUUUGAAUAUCAAGUUAUCUCAAGUUAACUAGUAUGCCAUGUGUUUAUGUAGAAAAUUGAAGAUUCCAAUAAUGAAAUAUCGUUUGUUUGUAUGCUGAUAACAUGUUUAUCUUUAUUAACCAAUAAAGGAGAGAAACAUGUGGUUUUAUCCAAUUUGGUGGAUGAGUUCUCCUUUUCCCGAGAUAGGUUUGGUGUUUCCUAAUUUUAUUUGUUUCCACAUAUUUUAAAUGGUGAGAUUCAUAUUUAAAAAAAAAAUUAUCCUCUAAACUAAGUCACCAAUGAAAAAUUGUAUUUUACUUUAAUUGUGGGGUUGUAAAAAACCAAAAAAGUAGUUGUAAUUUUUUUAAGAAAAAAUAUUAGAAAAACCAGAAAUCAAUGGUGAGCGACAUCCGUCAAACCAAAAUUUAAGGAGGUAUAUAAAUUAAAUUAGAUGUAUAAAAGGUGAUAUACAUUUAAGUUUUCUUAAUAUACUAGUUUUUUCUAACCACAAAAAUCAUUAUCAAUUUGUUCAAAGCACUUGAGAUGAAGAAACUCUUUCAAAUCGCGAGUCCCAUAAUAGCUACCUUCAUCAUCAUCGCAAUAGGGUUAAUGGCGAAUGAAACAUAUGGAAACAAAAAUUGUACUGAAAUUCUAAAUACCAAGGAUUAUAGUGUUCCUGGAGGUGGUGUUUCAAAUAGUGCUCCAUGUACCGGUUUUAGUUGUGUCUAUUUGUGCAAGAGAAAAAAUGCCAACGGAGUUGGUACUUGUAUUGGGCCAAAAAAACAGGAAAAAUGUCGCUGCGUUUAUAAAUGUCCUUAAUAAUAUAUUAUGUGCUGAAGGAAAAAUUAUCAAAAUAAUAUUGAAUAAAAAUAAAUAAGUAGACUAGGAUAUGUAGGCUAGUUGAUUGUAGUGAUGUCUUAAUUUUGUAAUAAUGAGGAUUCAGAUCGGUAUAAUAUAUGUUCAUAAAGGAACAAGUUAAAAAAAUAUUUAUGAAUAUUAACUAUUUUUUCUUUUUGAUUAUGUUAAGCUUGUUAUUUUAGAGGUUAGAUCCAGUAUCUCAUAAGUAAUAAACUAUUAAAUGUGAGUAAAGAAAAAAUAUGUAUUUUGAAAAAAAACAUACCAUCAUUAAAAUUUAAAGGGUUUUCUAAAAAUUUUUUUUACGGGAGUACCUUUCAUUAUAUAUAUACUAGGGGUUGGCCCGUCCUACGGGAGGAAAGUUGUAAUAAAAAUUAUUUUAUAAAUAUUUUUUUAAUUUUAUGAAGCAUUUUAAAAAUCAUUAUAGAUUAAAAUGAUAUGAUUUUAAUUAUAAACAAAAAAAUAAUAAAUAUAAUUUUGUGAUUGUGUUUUUUUUUAAUUAAAAAUUUUGGUUUGAAUUAAAAUGACAGUAACUUCGUUGUUCUUUAUUUUCAGAGAAUACAAAAUUAGAAAAAAAUAAUUCAGAAAAUGUAACAUAUAUAUCUUCUUAUUAUUUUAUUUCACUUCGACAUAAGAAAAAAAAAUCUAAAGUUUAGACAAAUAAAAAAACUUAUCGCGCGGGAUAUUAGUUGUGUUUCUUAUUUGAUGUUAGUGUGUGUAGCAUAUCUUAAUGUUCUUCUUUAUUUUAUUGUAUUGAACAUUUUUAGUUUACGACACCAUGUUAUGUAGUAGCAGGAAAUAGUUUUUUAUUUCUGGUUUUGUGGUGAUGAGAGAAUAAGUGAAAAAUAUGACAAUUCAAGGCGCGGCGUGAAUUGGUAUCAGAGAUGACUCAAUGAGUUUUGUUAAAAGAUGUUUCUCUACCACUGUUGUUAUUUUUUUGUAUUGUUUCAAACCUCCUGGGCAACAACUUUUUAUAAUAGUUUGUUCCUUGCCUCUUUUACAUGCCAUACUAUGCGCAUACAUCUUUUUUUCCUAAUCUUCAUUAAAAUUAUGCCGCUAAUAUUCUACAAUUUUCAAAUUUGUAAAUUAUGUUUUGUGUUAUAUAUUUUUCCUACUUAUACAGAAUUGGUUUUUGUUAUAAUAUGCAUUGUACAUGGUGUUAGUUUUUAGUGGUUUGGCAUGACCAUUAAUUAUGAUAUUAUUUUUCUUAAAUUAAGGAGCUAAUUUUUUUUAAAUUUAUAAUUAAAAUUAUGUAGAAUAAUGUUUAAAGAUAAUUUUAGUACUUAAUAAUUUUACCCAAAAAAUUUUGAUUUACCUAAUUGAUUAAUAAUAGGUUUAGACUCAUUUUUAACAUUACAAUUAUCAAAGUCUAUUAUUGAACUCUACACUCUUAAUUGUUCUCUAGAUAUUUCAUAUUAAACAUUAGGAUUAAAAUUUGUAAAAAAAAUAAUACGUCAAUUUUAUUGAAUAUAUCAUAAUUUUUAAUGGGUACCGGUUAUGUUACAUUGUCCAAAAACAAUAAUAUAUUAAAACACGUUGUCUGAGAAAAAAAAUUGAUAAACAUUAAAGAUCCAUUAAUUAGCAAACUAAAUAGUAUUUUAAUUUAUGGAUUAAUUUCAAUAAUUAAAUAAUUUAGUUUUUCCAAUAAAGAAUUUAAACUUAAAAGUAUAACAGUGUUGGGAAUUGUUUUUCCGAUCUUUUGCCUUUUGAUAAUCAUAAGAUUGUUUGAACACAGACUCAUGUUGUAAGUUUAAAAUAAAAGUUACAAUCUUAUAAAAUCUUGCAAAUAGGUCUGUGUAGGUAUAUGGACAAACAUCUAGUUAAAAAUGUAAAUAUCUAAUUUUAAACAAUUCUUAGAGGAUAUAUUGAAUAUAUUCUAAAAGGAUAUAUGUAUAUAUUAUUAUUUUUCAUUAAAUAUAUUUGCAAAACAUUAGAAAUUUAUCCAGUUAAUGAUGUUUUGUAAUGUCAGAAAUAUUCUGUGAAAAUUUAUUGAAAGAGUUUAAAAGAUGAUUAUUCUAACUUUUGAUUCAAUAUAAUCACAAAUUUAAUAUUGGCUAGACGACAUUGACGUAGUAUUAGACUAACUAUAUACACCAUAACCUAAGAUUUAUUGCAAUCAUAAAACCAUAUUAUGAACCGAUUAUGAUAUAUUGCAUAAAGGUUAAAUACAGGAAUAUAACCUCUUUGAUCACUUAAAUGUUAUUGUUAGGCUAAAUUUAAAUUUCAAAAAUCUGGUUUAGUUGUGCUAGUCUAGAUAAUGGUUGGAAUAUUCUAAUAUGUUAUUUAAUAUACAAACUACAAUUUAAUAUGCUCAACGCAAACACACAUAAAAAUGAGACAUCAUAUUUGGAUAUAUUUAAAUAAAUAAUUUUAAAUAUAUUAUAUUUUUGAUAAUUUUAAAUUUACUUAAAAAGAAACUAAAUUAUUUAAAAAUUAAUAUACAAAUAAAACUAAAGCAAUAUUUUGUAACGUCAAAAUAAUAAAUUAAUAAAAAAUAUAUAACGUUAAUAAAAUA